CAGCACCUCAAGUGGUCAGGAUGAUUAUUGGGCCUAAAGCAUCCGUAGCCGGCGCUGUAAGUUUUCGGUUAAAUCUGUACGCUCAACGUACAGGCUGCCGGGAAUACUGCAGCGCUAGGGAGUGGGAGAGGUAGACGGUACUCGGUAGGAAGGGGUAAAAUCCUUUGAUCUAUUGAUGACCACCUGUGGCGAAGGCGGUCUACCAGAACACGUCCGACGGUGAGGGAUGAAAGCUGGGGGAGCAAACCGGAUUAGAUACCCGCGUAGCC
rnacentral:rRNA from 1 species